GUGCUCGCUUCAGCUGCACAUGUACUAAAAUUGGAACAAUAGAGAAGAAUACCUCCCUGCACGUGGAUGACACACAAAUGUGUGAAGUCUUCCAUAUUUUU
rnacentral:snRNA from 1 species